rnacentral:rRNA from 1 species
AUGGACAUAGCAAAGCCAGCGGCAACUGCAUAUCUUAGGAGGUGGCACACUAGGUUGUGGUCUAGGAGUCAGUUCUCAACAAUUUCCAAGGUGGAUUAUGUUACAAACAACUUGGCUGAGUGCUUCAAUAAUUGGAUUAAGCAUCACAAGUCCUUGAACUUGGACGACUUCUUUCAUAAGGUUAGGCAAAUGAUUAUGAUCAUGUGGAACCGAAGGAGGAAAGUAGCAAGGAAGUUGGUUCGGUUGAUUCUUCCCCACAUAAUUAAGAAGUUGAAUGCAAAGACUAGAGAAUUAAACUUGGAGGUGGUAGAAUGUUCAGAAGAAGUCGCUGAAGUGACAGCAUUGGGAGGCAGCGGCUUUAGGUUUGUGGUCAACUUGCUUGACAGGACAUGUUCUUGUAGACAAUGGCAAGUUUCUGGCCUUCCUUGCAAGCAUGGUCUAGCAUUUAUCACAUCUCUUAUCAAUGCACACAUAGAGAAUUAUGUGGACUUGUAUUACUCCAUUGACAAAUUUAGGGAAGCCUAUUACCAACUAAUUCCUGCCAUGGUUGACAAGAACCAAUGGCCUAAAUCUGACCAUGGAUUCUUCAUGUUUCCACCACUACUAAAAUCCAUGGCGGGUAGGCAUAAAACUGAGAGGUAUAAAGGCUGCAGUGAGAAGAAAAGAAAAAGCGGCCAACACUUAUGCCCUAUUUGUAAGGACUAUGGGCAUCAUUGGCAUAAAUGCAAGAAGGUAACCCAGAUGACAUUGUUGCUAUUUUAG